rnacentral:lncRNA from 1 species
AUGCAGACCCAGGCUGGCCCAGGACGAGCUUUCCUCGGAAUCAGAGGCCAGUGUCCCCGCAGACCUCGGGAGGCCAGGGCUUGGGAGGUGCUGUGCUCCUCGAUUCCAUCACCUGCUUCUGUGCAGCCCCCCGAUCAGGCUCCAACUCUCAUCCGCAGCCGAGGAGGGACGCAUCCGCGGCCGGCGGUAACGAGGGAGGGAUGCAGAGGAAGCAGGGUGCCCACACUCAGCAGGGUGCCGUCAAGUGGCCUCUGGGCUGGGGCCUCUCCGCGUGGUCCCCCUUCUUCCCGAGCAUCUCUCAGGUCCUGGAACACAGUCCCGCAGCCCCCUCGCUGGCGGUCUGUGUCUUUCCUCUGCCGGCGUUCCUGGUGGUACAGCGUCCGGGCCCUCAAGAGCGAGGUUAAAGAACAAGUAACACAUCUUGGAGCCCAAGGGCAGGUACUCGGGAAACCACUUGGGCAAGAUGGCCUCAAAGGGUGAGUAUAGAGGGAUGACUUGCUGUUUCAGGAGGAGGGAGAAAAGGCAGAGCCUAGCGAGAAAUGUCCAAGGCCCAGUUUGGCUGAAUUUCACCUGUGGGAUGCUGGGCCGUCACUCUGUGGGGGCGUGAAUGCCAGGAAUGGAGCUGGGGCUUAAUUUUUGUGGCAGUAGGGAGCCACAGAAGGUAUUUCAGCAGGGGCGACGCCGGCACUGGAGUGCAGAGUAAUGGUGGGAUCUAAGACAGACCUUCCUCAGCUUCCUCAGCCCAGCAGGACCUUGGUGUCUUAGUAAUAUUUUCAUGGCCCCCUGGCCCAGAAGAAACAGCUACCACUGUCACUUAUGAAACGGUUCCAAACGCCUUAAUACAAGUAGUGUGUGUGGUGCCGACAGAGGUAGCUGUUCUCCUCGAAAAUUUAAAACAUUUGCAUGGUGGUGUUAAGGGGUUCACUGGGGGGCCCCCUGGUACCUUGCCGACACCCUUUAGAACCAGAAAUCUAAGAGACUAUUCAGCUUCACGUUUUGGCUCUGCCCUCACUGGCUGUGUGUUCCGGAGGAAGUCAGGCUAAGGGCUCAAUCUUUUCCUCGUUUCUGCAGGGAGGUGGCCAGGAGGCCCCACGUCACAGAGUCCUCGCGUGGGAUCAGUGAAACCCCACGUUUAAAGAUGUUGGCAGAGUCCCGCCCAUGCGAUGUGCUCAGCCAUCACCAUCGCCAGGUGCCUCUGUGCAGUGCACAACCUGCUCAAGGGGAUGGAGCUGGAGACCCACCAGGAGGUUCGGCGUUGGUCUGUGGUCAGCGGGGAUUUGGACUGAGUCAAGGAGCCCCGCAAAGGUCCCUGAAGCUGACCAGCGCCCGGCGGAGCAGCAGCGCCAGGGGAGCCAAACCGCUGACCCGGGCUUUUCCCUUUCCACCCAAAUCUUGCUCCCCUGCGCCCUCUGCAGGCCGACGGGGAAGCCACACGUUGAGGUCGAUUUAGACGCGUUUCUGGGUCGAGGAUCCCACUGGUUCUCAACCGUCUGGGCGGAACGGCAGCAUCUCCUGGGGAGUGAGUCCUGAAUCCCACCGAAAACCGGGUGCCACGGAGUCCCCGGGGGCUGUUUGUAAAAGCAGCCCGGGGUCCUCGGGGCAGCCGGGGCCGAGACCCCACCGUGCGGUGGUCUCCCUCGAUCCCACGGAAGCGCGCUCGGCCCCGGCGGAGAGUUCCCGUCCGGGUCCGGAGAACUGCCGCCGGGGUCGCACGGGGUACACGCUGCGAAUGUUCGCACGGAGCCAAAUUGCCCCAAAGCUCUGCGAGGUGACACCGCCGCCAAGGAGGACGCUUCCCCGGCACCUUCCCUCAUGCUCGAUAAUAUCAGACUUUAAUUUUGUGGCCAAUCUGAUGAGAAGAAAAAUGGCACCAGUUAAAAAAGAAUCGAGUAGACUUUACGCACCAGCUUGGCGAGAUCUCCGCGAUAAGCUGUUGAGCAAGAAACAGGUUGCAGGAUACAGAAAAACACGUUGGCAGAUUGAUGGAAAACAAGUCGCACGGGCACCGCGGGGCAGUGGAGGCAGGGCCCCCACGGGGGGCGGUCGAGUGGAACGUCAUCCGUUCCUGGACCGUGUUCACCCUUCACAGGGAGAACGAGUUCAGUUAUAUGAGAUUAAUUUUUAAAAAGCUUACGGGAAAAUUAUACAUAUCCGUAUGUGUAUGUGUGUGUGUAAAGAGAGAGAGAGACAGAGAGAGAAAGAGAAGAGGGAAGGAGGGAGAGAGAGAGAAAGCACACACGGUAAGCUGUUGCGAUGUUACCAUGUAGGGGAUCUGAAUAAAGGGUAUCCAGGCAUUCUCUGUACUCUUCCU